CCUACGGGGAGCAGCAGUGAGGAAUAUUGGUCAAUGGGCGCGAGCCUGAACCAGCCCAGUCGCGUGAGGGAGGACGGCCCUACGGGUUGUAAACCUCUUUUGCCGGGGAGCAACGGGCGUCACGUGUGGCGCCACUGAGCGUACCCGGAGAACACGCAUCGGCUAACUCCGUGCCAGCAGACGCGGUAAUACGGAGGAUUCGAGCGUUAUCCGGAUUUAUUGGGUUUACAGGGUUCGCAGGCGGAAUGCCAAGUCAGCGGUAAAAUCGCGGGGGUCAAGCUCGCUCCGCCGUUGAAACUGGCGUUCUUGAGUGGGCGAGAAGUAUGCGGAAUGCGUGGGGUAGCGGUGAAAUGCAUAGAUAUCACGCAGAACUCCGAUUGCGAAGGCAGCAUACCGGCGCCCAACUGACGCUGAAGCACGAAAGCGUGGGUAUCGAACAGGAUUAGAUACCCUUGUAGUC
rnacentral:rRNA from 1 species